rfam:Sphaeroforma arctica JP610 cont1.8902, whole genome shotgun sequence.
AGAUGGUUGUCCGAGUGGUCCAAGGAGUUUGACUUAAGCUCAAUUAUGCGUAUGCAUGCGCAGGUUCGAACCCUGCACCAUCCA